rnacentral:lncRNA from 1 species
UUGAAGUUACCUUAAUUAACCAGAUAGUAAAAACAAUUAAAUCUACAUAUCAUGAAUAUAUAAUUACCAGGAACAACUUUAACUAUAUGACGAUUUUUUGCUGCUUCGCCCCAGAAUUGAAGUAAAGGAUCCUUGGAAAAGAGAAGAAUAUUGUUAACCUUCCAGUCACAAUUAAUGUCUUGAACUAAAUGAUGCAUACCUCUAAAUAGUGAGACAGAACAAUCAAUGUCUUGAACUUCUCCAUUUGCUAAUAUUUAUAGUAAACCAAAAUUNNNNNNNNNNNNNNNNNNNNNNNNNNNNNNNNNNNNNNNNNAGAGUACUUCUUAAUAAGAAGGAAAUAAACAUAUUACCAAUAUAGUUAGGUUAGUUAAAAUUCAAAUAAAAAAUUUCUAAAACCCAGAUGAAUGCAAGAGAGUAGAGACACAUAAAAAUCACAUGUAAUGCUAAAAAAUAAUAGAAAAAUUCAUAAAAGAAUACUUUCUAAGAAUCGUACCACACGUUCCGGCAUAAAAAAAGGGACAGGCUGAAGUACGGAGCCGGCAUAGCCAUGAGAGCCUAUUCAAAAAACAAAAAGAAUGCAGCAAAACAGGAAGCGAUUGAUCAAGAAAACUUACUAGAAUUUCGUGACAGAAAUGACCGAUAGGACGACGGUGCAUUAGCGAUGUCGAUACAGCUGAAUGUGCUAUAUGUAGUGCAAAACACACUUCUCAUUACCAUUAUUGACAUUUCUCAAUAGAUUUAAUCAAAACUAACAGAUUGCAAAUAACAGAACGAAAACCCUUCAGUUUUCCAGUAGACACUUUUUCCAUUAGAUUUAUAUCAUAUUUCCAAAAAUCAACCCUUCAGAUGUGAAAAACGAAAACAAAAAAGUAAAACAAUCCAGAAGGAGAAAACAAAUUAAUAAGGGGCAAGGUAAGUAAGAAAGAAUUGAGGUACCACAUUGACCAGUUAACUUCAGCUAAUGCUCCUUUCAUUCCAUAGAUUAAGUGUGGUACCACAUUAGGUCCAGUUAACUUCAGCUAAUGCUCCUUUCAUUCCAUAGAUUAAGUGUGGUACCACAUUGGGUCCCUACCACUCACACAUCUGAUGUAAGUGGGGUUGGAAGAAUCAUGUAUGGCAUGGUUUGUAAUAGGCCUGAUUUAUCCUAUGUAAUAAGUGUGGUAAGUCGGUUUAUGGCAAAU